GUGACCUCAAAUCAGGUAGGACUACCCGCUGAACUUAAGCAUAUCAAUAAGCGGAGGAAAAGAAACUAACAAGGAUUCCCCUAGUAACUGCGAGUGAAGCGGGAAAAGCUCAAAUUUAAAAUCUGUCAGUCUUUUGGCUGUCCGAGUUGUAAUCUAGAGAAGUGUUAUCCGCGCUGGACCGUGUACAAGUCUCCUGGAAUGGAGCGUCGUAGAGGGUGAGAAUCCCGUCUUUGACACGGACUGCCAGGGCUUUGUGAUGCGCUCUCAAAGAGUCGAGUUGUUUGGGAAUGCAGCUCAAAAUGGGUGGUAAAUUCCAUCUAAAGCUAAAUAUUGGCGAGAGACCGAUAGCGAACAAGUACCGUGAGGGAAAGAUGAAAAGAACUUUGGAAAGAGAGUUAAACAGUACGUGAAAUUGCUGAAAGGGAAACGCUUGAAGUCAGUCGCGUUGACCGGGGAUCAACCCUUGCUUUUGCUGGGUGUACUUUCUGGUUGAUGGGUCAGCAUCAAUUUUGACCCUUGGAAAAAGAUUAGGGGAAUGUGGCAUCUUUGGAUGUGUUAUAGCCUCUGGUUGCAUACAAUGGUUGAGAUUGAGGAACUCAGCACGCCGCAAGGCCGGGUUUAACCAUCGUACGUGCU
rnacentral:rRNA from 1 species